rnacentral:siRNA from 1 species
GGGCAGAUUGUAAGUAGC